ACCUUUCCUCCUUUAACUUUGGGUGUCGGGUAUUUUGCCUUAGUAACAAGAAAAGUAAGCCAGGAACAUCUAAGACCAAAGAAGUACAGUGUCAAGCUCUGAGUACCUGAUUUUACUACCACAAAUUUCCCCCUCAAGUUACUGGGAUUGUGUACACCAAAGGGUCAGAACUGUGCUGUUUGUUUUUCAUAGUGUGCCUCGAGGAUUAAAUAUUCAAUCUACCAUCUUACCUUUGACUGGAAUCAGAGCUGAUUCCAGCUCUGACACAGCUCUAACAGAGGAGAAAUGCCCAUGUGCCUGUCGAUCAGCCAUGGUGCCGGGCAUGCAAACCUGCCAAGCUGGUGUUAUCUCCCUACUGACGGAUGAUGUAUCUCAGUAUCUCCACACUGGGAUCCUUCUACUAAAUCACUCUGCCUUGGCAGUAAGUGUAAAAUACACCCAACAUGGAAUUUUAAAACGAAGUAUAAAUGUGGAAAUACCAAAUACUUGGUGAUAAAGUAUUGAAAGCCGUAUUAAUAUCUUGUCUAAUAUGAAUUAUUUUACUACACAACUAAUGCCCUUUAAAAGAUAUACUUAUCGUUAUAGAGAUCAAGGGAGGAGUUACUUAAACAUGACUGGUUCGUUUUUCAAAUACUACCUCCUUUUAAGUCGUUGUUGCAAAAAAAAAAAUGUUACAGAUUUAUGAGUUUUCAAUUAACUGGUGGGCAGACUGUAAAUAUGAAUGUACCACCAGUAAGUAAUGGUGAUGGUAAAGUAUUUCUGAGUUUUAGAAAUCACAUUUUUUUCUACUGUAGGAUUUAAGAAAGAAAAAAAUACCAUGGAUCGCUGACAUUAUGUAACGACUCGCUGCACUACUCCAGUGUGCAAACAAUAGCUGGGACUUGAAUUGUGUAACUAAUUGCUAGGACGUGAAUUAAAAGAAAGCAAAAUCGAGAAUGGGCCCGCGCCUUUCUAGCUAGUCCACGGCCAGAUACAAUUAGCUUAUGCCUCUAACCUCUGCUUUCAGUGCGAUAUGUUCGUACGACCAGUCUCCCAGGUGAGCGUAUUUAUGAUGCAAUGCAAACAUAUAGUCAUAACAACUUCUCAAAACCAAUUGCUUUCAAAUGUAUACAUUCCCCUAGGGACAAAAGGCGAGGACGUAUCUUGGUAACAUCUCAUCAGGGCACUGGCCGGGAAACUACCCGAACGUUAGGCGUGCACGCGUGUCGGUCCGCACCCGAGACAAUGCGGCCUUCAGGAACAAGGACCUGGAUGCUAAGCCUCUUUUCUCUAACUGAGAGAAGACUCAAGAAACUAAGAAAAUGAAAUCUCCCUUUGGAUUUAAAUCUGGAUUUGCCUACAGAUUUCUUCUGAGAGAUUCUUUUGUUCCCUACUCCCACAACCUUUUUGGGUGGUUUUAAAUGCUGCUUUUAUGCAGGAAAAGUCUCACCUUGUUGUCCCACAAGUGAACUCUGCGUCCUUUUCCAUACUCUCUGUCAAGGUGGAAUACUUUCAGGAAUUCCAUCUCUAAAAGUUAAUUUCUAACUCUGAAACAAGCAUGCAUGCAUUUGUCACAUGUCAUAAGACUUGUAAUGGCUUUUCUUAUUGUCUCUCUUUUUCUGGAGUCUUGAUAUAGAUGAUCCCCUUUCUGUGGCAAAUGAAAUAUUUACAAGGUAAUUGUUAAGACUGUUUUAAAAUUAGAAAAGGCUGGACUGAGUGUCCCUGUAUUUUGAGAUAGGUUCUUUACUGUUUUGGUGUUCUAUUUUCUCAUCUGUAUAGUAAGUAUAAUGGAUUCUGAUCUUUUUAAUCUGUUAAUAUUAUAACUCUAAGACUUGUAAUAAACAAAAUUCAUUGUAAUCAAAGGUUAUUUUUAUUCAAGCUGAGAUCACCAGAUGGUAGCCAAGCUUUACCCCAAACCUUGGAUUUUGUAUUCCACAGACAACAGAAUAGCCUUUCAUGUUA